rnacentral:tRNA from 1 species
GGGGCUGUAGCGCAGUGGGAGCGUAGCAGACUGGCAGUCUGUUGGUCGAGGGUUCGAAUCCCUCCAGCUCCACCA